AGAGUUUGAUCAUGGCUCAGGAUGAACGCUGGCGGCGUGCUUAAUACAUGCAAGUCGAACGGAGAGUGAGCAAUUACUCUGAGUGGCGAACGGGUGAGUAACGCGUGGGUGACCUGCCCCGAAGCCGGGGAUAACAGUUCGAAAGGGCUGCUAAUACCGGAUGUGGUCAUCGGGUUUAGAAGCUUAUGACCAAAGGCGGACGUUCUUCGGAACGUUGUCACUUUGGGAGGGGCCUGCGUCCCAUCAGCUAGUUGGUAAGGUAACGGCUUACCAAGGCGACGACGGGUAGGGGACCUGAGAGGGUGAUCCCCCACACUGGCACUGAAACACGGGCCAGACACCUACGGGUGGCAGCAGUAGGGAAUAUUGCACAAUGGGCGCAAGCCUGAUGCAGCAACGCCGCGUGCGCGAUGAAGGCCUUCGGGUCGUAAAGCGCUUUUCUGGAGGACGAGGAAGGACGGUACUCCAGGAAGAAGGCUCGGCUAACUACGUGCCAGCCGCCGCGGUAAUAC
rnacentral:rRNA from 1 species